rnacentral:tRNA from 1 species
CCGGGUGUAGCGCAGUUUGGUAGCGCACUUGCUUUGGGAGCAAGGGGCCGCAGGUUCGAAUCCUGUCACCCGGACCA